UCCUAAAAGCGAAGUGCGGAGGACAUUAUGAAUAAAUUUGGGUGAGGUUGUAGCUGGCCCUCUCUGGGCAUGUGCACGCUUUGCUCAUUUCCACUCUCUACACCUCUGUGCACUUUCCAUGGGGUCAGGUCCAAGUUGUGUAACAUGACGAACGACCUUGAUGCCAUGCGUUUUUAAAACACACUGUUUUGUUUCAGAAUGUCUUCAUGUCAUGCGUAAAUGCAUAUAAUACAACUUUCAGCAACGGAUCUCUUGGCUCUCGCAUCGAUGAAGAACGCAGCGAAAUGCGAUAAGUAAUGUGAAUUGCAGAAUUCAGUGAAUCAUCGAAUCUUUGAACGCACCUUGCGCUCCUUGGUAUUCCGAGGAGCAUGCCUGUUUGAGUGUCAUGGUAUUCUCAACUCUUGUACAUUUUGUGCAAGUGUUGGACUUGGAGGUCGUGCUGGACGGGAGAGACUGUCUGGCUCCUCUGAAUUGCAUUAGCUUGAACGUUGCCGAGUAUGAUCUAGCGUGAUAAUUGUCUGCGCUGUUUCGUCCACGGCAUUUGCAAGUUUCAUGCUUCUAAACGUCGAAAGACAAACAUUCUAUGAACAUCUGACCUCAAAUCAGUAGACACCAAGUUU
rnacentral:rRNA from 1 species